rnacentral:rRNA from 1 species
GAUGAACGCUGGCGGCGUGCCUAAUACAUGCAAGUCGAGCGAACAGACGAGGCGCUUGCUCCUCUGACGUUAGCGGCGGACGGGUGAGUAACACGUGGAUAACCUACCUAUAAGACUGGGAUAACUUCGGGAAACCGGAGCUAAUACCGGAUAAUAUAUUGAACCGCAUGGUUCAAUAGUGAAAGACGGUUUUGCUGUCACUUAUAGAUGGAUCCGCGCCGCAUUAGCUAGUUGGUAAGGUAACGGCUUACCAAGGCAACGAUGCGUAGCCGACCUGAGAGGGUGAUCGGCCACACUGGAACUGAGACACGGUCCAGACUCCUACGGGAGGCAGCAGUAGGGAAUCUUCCGCAAUGGGCGAAAGCUUGACGGAGCAACGCCGCGUGAGUGAUGAAGGUCUUCGGAUCGUAAAGCUCUGUUAGUAGGGAAGAACAAAUGUGUAAGUAACUAUGCACGUCUUGACGGUACCUAAUCAGAAAGCCACGGCUAACUACGUG